rnacentral:rRNA from 1 species
AUUAGUUUCUUAAUUGGAGGCUUGUAUGAAGGGUUGGACAAGAAGUAAGCUGUCUCAGUUACAAAAAUUGAAAUUGACUUUUAAGUGAAAAGGCUUAAAUAAUUUAGAGGGACGAUAAGACCCUAUAAAGCUUAAUAAUUUAAGGUAUUUUUUAAUGAUUUAUAUAUUUAAAUUUAUUUAUAUUUAAAAUUAUUUCGUUGGGGCGACGAUAAUAUAAUUUGUAACUGUUUAAAUUUUUACACAAAGAUAAUUGUAUUUAAUGAUCCUUGUUGUUGAUUAAAAGUUUAAGUUACUUUAGGGAUAACAGCGUUAUUUAUUUUGAGAGUUCAUAUCGAUAAAAAAGAUUGCGACCUCGAUGUUGAAUUAAAAUUUCACUGUGGUGUAGAAGUUACAGAGGAAGGUCUGUUCGACCUUUAAAAUUUUA